AAUAACUUUUCGAAUGUAUUUUUCUUCUGUCAACUUUCAUUUAACACUCCAGUCCAGUUGGUGGCAGUAAUGCGCUUUCAUAGUUGGUCAGGCAGCCACCAUUAAACUCCAGAGGAAGAUUUGCACCGGUGCUAACAAGUGCUACUGCGAGACCCAACAUGAAAGAAAAUGCCCGUGCGUUGUGUGAAAUGGUGGAAAAAGUCCUAUUUCAAUGAGUUACCUUUUCAGUAUCGUUUUGAUAUCAAGCAAUUGUUCCGGCGGAAAACAAGAGAUGACACCGCGGCGGUCCAACAAGGCCGAACUCAUGGUAAGAAAGCUUUUAUGAAUAGCGAGCACGUGCAGCAAGGCGAGGUGCUUUGUUAUGAUUUCACAUUUAGGCAAUAGUGAACACUCGCAUAUUUGUAAGGAAAACUGAUCUUCCGGUUAUUUUAUUUAUUUUGUUAUAACGCAGUACAGCAAGGCAGACUGUGGCAAGCAGUAGAGAUCAACAUGGCGGAUGGAGGACGGAUAUGAGGACGGAGUCAUGAAGUCGGUAUGUAUUAUUACAGUCACUGUGUUGAUUCCCGACUGUAUAAUGACUCCACAGAAUAGGAGUCACAUUUGUGUCAAUCAGACUCUUCAGGAACGUCCUGAUGUCCGUGAUGAGGACAGAGAUGCAACUGUGUCUGCAUCCAGGACCUACUGCCAGUCAUCUGGAUGUAGCUAAA